UAAUUUAGAGGGACAUUUUCAGGGUUCAGCACUAUUCUAAGUUCUUUGGAACAGGACAUCAUAGAGGGUGAGAAUCCCGUGCCUGGGUAGUUGUCUGAUUCUAUGUGAAGUGUCUCCGACGAGUCGAGUUGUUUGGGAAUGCAGCUCAAAAUGGGUGGUAAAUUUCAUCUAAAGCUAAAUAUUGGCGAGAGACCGAUAGCGCACAAGUAGAGUGAUCGAAAGAUGAAAAGCACUUUGAAAAGAGAGUUAAAAAGUAUGUGAAAUUGUUGAAAGGGAAGCACUUGCGACCAGAUUCAAUCUUUAGGGGUCAUCUGGGUUUUAAGCCUGGUUGUUAUUCCUAUUGAUUGGGCUAGCAUCGGUUUUGGUGGCAGGAUAAAAGGUAAGGAAAUGUGGCUUUCCUCUUUUGGAGAGUGUUAUAGUCCUUGUCAUAAUACUGCCUACUGGGACCGAGGACUGCGCUUAGGCUAGGAUGCUGGCAUAAUGGUUUUAAGUGACCCGUCUUGAAACACGGACCAAGGAGUCUAACAUCUAUGCAAGUGUUUGGGUGGAAAACCCUUGCGCGUAAUGAAAGUAAAUGGAGGUAGGAACCCUUUGGGGUGCACUAUCGACCGGUCCUGAUGUUUUCGGAAGGAUCUGAGUAAGAGCAUAGCUGUUGGGACCCGAAAGAUGGUGAACUAUGCCUGAAUAGGGUGAAGCCAGAGGAAACUCUGGUGGAGGCUCGCAGCGGUUCUGACGUGCAAAUCGAUCGUCAAAUUUGGGUAUAGGGGCGAAA
rnacentral:rRNA from 1 species